rnacentral:rRNA from 1 species
GACGAACGCUGGCGGCGUGCUUAACACAUGCAAGUCGAACGGAAAGGCCCUGCUUUUGUGGGGUGCUCGAGUGGCGAACGGGUGAGUAACACGUUAGUAACCUCCCCUUGACUUUGGGAUAACUUCAGGAAACUGGGGCUAAUACCGGAUAGGAGCUCCUGCUGCAUGGUGGGGGUUGGAAAUUUUCGGCGGUUGGGGAUGGACUCGCGGCUUAUCAGCUUGUUGGUGGGGUAGUGGCUUACCAAGGCUUUGACGGGUAGCCGGCCUGAGAGGGUGACCGGCCACAUUGGGACUGAGAUACGGCCCAGACUCCUACGGGAGGCAGCAGUGGGGAAUAUUGCACAAUGGGCGGAAGCCUGAUGCAGCAACGCCGCGUGCGGGAUGACGGCCUUCGGGUUGUAAACCGCUUUCGCCUGUGACGAAGCGUGAGUGACGGUAAUGGGUAAAGAAGCACCGGCUAACUACGUG